GACGAACGCUGGCGGCGUGCUUAACACAUGCAAGUCGAACGGAAAGGCCCUGCUUUUGUGGGGUGCUCGAGUGGCGAACGGGUGAGUAACACGUGAGUAACCUGCCCUUGACUUUGGGAUAACUUCAGGAAACUGGGGCUAAUACCGGAUAGGAGCUCCUGCUGCAUGGUGGGGGUUGGAAAGUUUCGGCGGUUGGGGAUGGACUCGCGGCUUAUCAGCUUGUUGGUGGGGUAGUGGCUUACCAAGGCUUUGACGGGUAGCCGGCCUGAGAGGGUGACCGGCAACAUUGGGACUGAGGGACGGCCAAGACUGCUACGGGAGGCAGCAGUGGGGAAUAUUGCACAAUGGGAGGAAGCCUGAUGCAGCAACGCCGCGUGCGGGAUGACGGCCUUCGGGUUGUAAACCGCUUUCGCCCGUGACGAAGCGUGAGUGACGGUAAUGGGUAAAGAAGCACAGGCUAACUACGUG
rnacentral:rRNA from 1 species